rnacentral:rRNA from 1 species
UACGGGGGGGCAAGCGUUGUUCGGAAUUACUGGGCGUAAAGGGCUCGUAGGCGGCCAACUAAGUCAGACGUGAAAUCCCUCGGCUUAACCGGGGAACUGCGUCUGAUACUGGAUGGCUUGAGUUCGGGAGAGGUGAGUGGAACUGCGAGUGUAGAGGUGAAAUUCGUAGAUAUUCGCAAGAACACCAGUGGCGAAGGCGGCUCACUGGCCCGGUACUGACGCUGAGGUGCGAAAGCGUGGGGAGCAAACAGG